ensembl:lncRNA
CUUGUUUUGUUUUGAUUACAAUCACGCCUUACCUGUUAACACGUGAUAGCACUGUGUUGUCUGGGAAAAGACUGGGCGAGUUUGCUUUGCAUGCUAUGCUAGCAUAGUUUAACGCAAGGUUAGGGACAAGCUAUGCUAGCUAGCUGCUGUCAGCUUGGCUAAACACAAGGUCAGGGCCAAGCUAUGCUAGGUAGCUGCUGUCAGCUUGGCUAAACACAAGGUCAGGGCCAAGCUAUGCUAGGUAGCUGCUGUCAGCUUGGCUAAACACAAGGUCAGGGACAAGCUAUGCUAGCUAGCUGCUGUCAGCUUGGCUAAACACAAGGUCAGGGACAAGCU